AUUGAACGCUGGCGGCAGGCCUAACACAUGCAAGUCGAGCGGAGCGGCGGACGGGUGAGUAAUGCCUAGGAAUCUGCCUGGUAGUGGGGGGUAACGUCCGGAAACGGGCGCUAAUACCGCAUACUCUCAGAUGAGCCUAGGUCGGAUUCGAUAGUUGGGGGGGGAAAGGCCUACCAAGGCGACGCUCCGUAACUGGUCUGAGAGGAUGAUCAGUCACACUGGAACUGAGACACGGUCCAGACUCCUACGGGAGGCAGCAGUGGGGAAUAUUGGACAAUUGUCGAAAGCCUGAUCCAGCCAUGCCGCGUGUGUGAAGAAGGUCUUCGGAUUGUAAAGCACUUUAAGUUGGGAGGCGUUACCAACAGAAUAAGCACCGGCUAACUUCGUGCCAGCAGCCGCGGUAAUUC
rnacentral:rRNA from 1 species